rnacentral:rRNA from 1 species
UACGUAGGGUGCGAGCGUUGUCCGGAAUUAUUGGGCGUAAAGGGCGCGUAGGUGGCGCGACAAGUCAGUGGUGAAAGCUCGACGCUCAACGUCGAGUCGGCCACUGAUACUGUUGGGCUUGAGCACUGUAGAGGCUAAUGGAAUUCCGGGUGUAGCGGUGGAAUGCGUAGAGAUCCGGAAGAACACCGGUGGCGAAGGCGGUUAGCUGGGCAGUUGCUGACACUGAGGCGCGACAGCGUGGGGAGCAAACAGG